rnacentral:lncRNA from 1 species
ACCACUCUCUUUUAGUUAUUAUUUUGAGAAAAUUACAACUAAGCCUGUUCUUAGAGUUUGUAUUUCAUUAGUCAUAUUUUAAGUUUAAUCUUUCACAAUUCAGGUCACAUUUAUUAAUAAAUAUAUCCUAACUCUCUCUCCAGAAUACAUAUACCUUCUACCCUAUCCCUACGACCCACGGCCCACUCACUUACCUCAGUUGCAGAAAUCACAAAUCUCUUUCUACCAAAUAAAUUUUCUCUCUCUAAUACAACUUUCUCUCUCUACUAUAGAUGCACUCUUCGCCUUCCCAAUGUCCUUGUUGACACGACCAUCUCUGACUCUUUCCUCAUUAAGAGAUUCACACUGCAGCCGCCUCGACCAGAUGCUUUUUUGUCGACGUUCCUAUCUUCGUUGGAAAUUGAGGCUACCGCUCCGCCUCCCUUUCCAUAUUCGCUGGUUGCUAUUUUGGGCACCGCUUAAUUGGAUUGCUAUUUUAGGUUGUGUGGUGGUGGGUUGGAUGACCACCUGCUUGUGUUGCUGUUUUGGGUUGUGGUGGUGGUGGUGUGGUGAUGGUAUUGGUAAAAGUGGUGUUGGGACAAAAUGGGUCAGAUAAAAUGAGGUUUGGAAGUGGCGGCGGCGGUGGUGGUAGUGUGGUUAUGGUAUUGGUAAAAGUGGUGUUGGGACAGAAUGGGUAAGAUGAAAUGAGGUUUGGAAGUAGUGGUGGUCGGACGAAAUGGAUCGGAUGAACUGCUGUGUAGCAGUUUCUCCAUCUUCCUCUAUUUUCAUCGUUGUUCAGCCUUCUCCAGUAGCGGUGCUCCAGCAGUCUUCACUACUAUGUAGAGGUGUUUGUGCGAUGGUGUGUAGAUCUGUGUUGGUGUAUAGAGCGUUUAUGCGAUGGUGUCUUUGUUGACCGUAUAUGAUUUUCAGCGUAGAUUGUUAUUGUGGAUUUAGGGUGAAUUUAGUAUUUAUGGUCGUCAAUUUAAGUGAAAGGUAUAAGUGGUGGUACUAAGGAGGUGAUAGUGGUGG